rfam:Gossypium raimondii Chr11_contig_1063, whole genome shotgun sequence.
AACCCAUGAUGAGGGCACCUUCUCAGAAGAUCUUUAAAUCUCUCACAUGCAUCAUAUAGUAUCUCAAGCUCCAUUUGGGCAAAAGAAGAGAUGUCAUUCCUCAACUU